CGGACGGGUGAGUAACACGUGGAUAACCUACCUAUAAGACUGGGAUAACUUCGGGAAACCGGAGCUAAUACCGGAUAAUAUAUUGAACCGCAUGGUUCAAUAGUGAAAGACGGUUUUGCUGUCACUUAUAGAUGGAUCCGCGCCGCAUUAGCUAGUUGGUAAGGUAACGGCUUACCAAGGCAACGAUGCGUAGCCGACCUGAGAGGGUGAUCGGCCACACUGGAACUGAGACACGGUCCAG
rnacentral:rRNA from 2 species